rnacentral:rRNA from 1 species
UUUAAAGAGAGUUUGAUCCUGGCUCAGGACGAACGCUGGCGGCGUGCCUAAUACAUGCAAGUCGAACGAACGGAGGAAGAGCUUGCUCUUCCAAAGUUAGUGGCGGACGGGUGAGUAACACGUGGGCAACCUGCCUGUAAGUUGGGGAUAACUCCGGGAAACCGGGGCUAAUACCGAAUGAUAGAAUGUGGCGCAUGCCACGCUUUUGAAAGAUGGUUUCGGCUAUCGCUUACAGAUGGGCCCGCGGUGCAUUAGCUAGUUGGUAGGGUAAUGGCCUACCAAGGCAACGAUGCAUAGCCGACCUGAGAGGGUGAUCGGCCACACUGGGACUGAGACACGGCCCAGACUCCUACGGGAGGCAGCAGUAGGGAAUCUUCCGCAAUGGACGAAAGUCUGACGGAGCAACGCCGCGUGUAUGAAGAAGGUUUUCGGAUCGUAAAGUACUGUUGUUAGAGAAGAACAAGGAUAAGAGUAACUGCUUGUCCCUUGACGGUAUCUAACCAGAAAGCCACGGCUAACUACGUGCCAGCAGCCGCGGUAAUACGUAGGUGGCAAGCGUUGUCCGGAUUUAUUGGGCGUAAAGCGCG